GUAGCAUGAGUUAGCUAGCUUCGUGGCUUUGUUUUUCUUUUCUUUUUUUUAUUGAUAAACAAAUUGUUGUACAUCAGUCUAGCACCUAAUUAAUUCCAGGUGACUGUCAUGUACCAAGUAGCUAACCCUGUAGGUGAUUUCAGUCGAUGAAGAAGUCCCGACAAUGUCAGGACGGACCAGUGGAGGGGACGACUGCAUUUCUAGAUAUGCUUCAUGACGUCAGAAUGACAACAUGAACGAAACAGAUCGAGAUUAGCUGACUGGACAUUGUCCAGUUCAUAAAACUAGCUCACUUUUGCCUUAUUUCCACUACUCGGCAUAUAAACAUCUGUGUUGUUGCUAUAACAACUGCUUUGGAUGUGUGAGCCUGUGCAACUACAGUACGUACAAAAAAAAAAAAAAAGAAAAGAUUUGAUCUCAUGUAAUUUGCAAUGUGGACACUGUCAAAAAAAAAUCGGAUUUAAGAAAAGAAAUUAGAUUCGCGCUGCUGUCUGAAAUCUUUGAAGGUGCCGUAGUUUCGCGUGAAGCGCCUGCAUAUUGCAGAAACGAUGAAAUGAAAUUUUAAUGUUAAUAUAAAUAUUAAAAAGGGUUACGUUUCUCCUGUGGUGGAACUUUAGAAACGACUACAGAGCGCAGACCACUCAAAUCAGACUGUGCUGAAAUAUUAAUAAUAUGUUUGUAGCGAGAGAGUCGGUCUAAUGCGAGGUUAUGUUAUGCAAGAAGACGGUGUGGGGAUAAAAAUAAAUAAAUAAAUAAAUAAAAUAAAACACCCCACUCGGUCAGUAAUGCAAGCUGCAAGUGUGUGGACGGAGAAAUUAUUAAUGCAGCACAAACACAGUGCUGAAAACUGACCGGGGGAAAUAAAAUCCUUUGUACACAGAUGUAGGAUCAGCUCCUUCAACCCAAAACUUAACCUUUACUAUUGUUAGAUUAUAUCGAGAACUGAUCCAGGAUCAGUGGGUUUGAUUGCUUUUUAUUUCCCAACCUUAAUUGUCUGUAAAUGUGCGAAUGCAAUCAGUAAUUAGUUUGUAACGAAGCUUAAUAUUUUUCUCUUACCAUAUAAAGGUUUGCUAUGUAUAUUGUAAUUGUAAUAUAUUACAGUGUAUUAUCCAUUUUUUUCAGCAUUUUUUGAUAGAGUGUACAGACUGGGCUCCGUUCACCUCGAGCAAUCAGUUUUCUAAUCCAAAUCCCAUUGACGGCUUUAAUAAUUGAUGAACGGCUGCCACCAUACUUUAUAUAUUAAAGUAACUGGAGUACAUGUGAAUAUAUCGAGCUGUCAGGAUCAGUUAAGAGAAAUUGUGUUAUAUUGUCUCUGCUUUCGCAGGGCAAGAAGUGAUUUAAUGUUUAAUCUGCAAAUCUACACUUCCACAUCACCGUAACCGACUCGAUAUGAUGCUGUUACAAUGUCAUGAUGCUUUUUGUUUUUGUUUCAGUGUUGGUUGCAUAAUUUUAAUUUACCUGUGUGUCUUUGUCGUUUAUAAUUCGGUGAUAACCACGGCAUAAAAUCUUCGUAACGAGAUGUUAAUUGACAUUGCAGGGAUGGACAAAUCAUAAAUUCAUUAGCUAGCCCACUGGGAAAGUAAAAGCUCCAACGUGCAGCCCAUUCUCGUGUUUUGCUGCCCAGAAGUCCAAUUAAUUAGGCUGAAAAGCUGGCACGUAAUUUAACUCAAAAAUAUGACGAUGUAAUUAUGUGCAUUAAUAUAGAUUGUGGAAAAGUAAUGAGCACUUGAAUCCCUGAGAGCAGCGGAUUUACGUAGCUUUAGUCUUUAUCCUCUCCUCAGGUUCCGGUGAUGAAGCAUCACAUUUGCCCCCCAGUGCCCAACCCCACAACUUUUUGGCUAAUGUCUGAGAGGAGACAUGCGCUUCCCUAGGACUGACCAGUAGUGAGAUCAGAGAGAGAGAGAGAGAGAACAAGGAAAAGGUGCGUAAGUAAAUUAAUAAAGUUUCUAAAUAAUUGUAUAGCAGUAAAAUGAGAGACGAAGAAAAACAUGAAAUUAGUGCCCUACCUAUUGUUCACUCUAUUGGUAGUAGAGGGUGAGUUUGAAUACCGGGGAUGCCACAGCUAUCUAUGGCCAGGUCAUUAAUUUUUUUUUCUCCUGUCAAUCACAGCAGCACUAUCCAAUCGUCAGUAUCUGCAAGCUAGUGUGUAUGUGGAAGAGAGCAGAUAGUGCUUUCCUUCAAGUGUGUGAAAAAGCCGUUUGAAAAUGUCUCAAAGGAAGCAUGUGCUAGCCUUCAUCUUUCCUGGUGUAGGGAGGGAACUUGCUAAUUAACAAAUGUCUGCCUUAUUUGUAAUUGCCAUUAUACAUACACACACACAUACAGGACACCACAAGUAUUCUUUUCUGAUAUUCCAGCUUGGUGGGAAGUCAAGGGUCGAAGCAUAGAGUCCGUCAGGAAGCAGCUAUCCUGGAGCAGGCAGGAGUUAAAGGCCUUGUUCAAGAGCCCAACAGUUAUAUCUUGGUGGUAAUGGGUUUUGAACUCAACCUUCCUUUCGGUAGCAGAGAGCCUUAACUGCUGGGCCAUGGCUGACCUUUCACAGGGAACAUGGAUUCAUGGUUUGACCACACUACAUACAAUGCAUAAAGAAAAAUACAAAAGGUUGUUCUCUUGCAAACAGACUGUCAGAAUGUAUUAUUGCUGUCCUUCUAUACUGCUGCACUGCUUCGUCUUACUUAUUUAAAAGAGAACAAUUGGUCCAUGUUCUGCCCUUUAGAUGACUCAUUGCAACUGCCUUCUUGCACACCAGUGCUCCACGUUCACAUAGCUUUGAGGUGUUUGGAGGUCACUGGGAAAAAAAUACACUAAAUGUAUAAGGAGGAAAAAUACCCAUACUGUAAACCCUUCUCAGAAUAAAUAGUUGAAUUGGAGAAUCUUGAAGCCCCAACUAGUACCCAGUACUUUUCAUAAUACUGUAGCCCAUUUUGUUAUCUAGCUCUUUAGAGGUUCACCAAAAAAAGUAUAUAAGGCUACUUUUACACAGAGUUUUCUCAACCACUGAUUCAUGUUUUGUAGUAUAAGUGAUCAAGUGGCCACAUUCCAGUCCUUCCAGGAUUUCCAGAUUUUGCGAUCGCAGAAAUUAACGCAAAAUCAAGCAAACUGCAACAUUCUGAGCUUGAAAUUUUUCUAAAUUACCGCCGAUUCGGGCCAAGACGCAUCAUGUGACUUGACAUCAUCACAACGUGCAUUCAACCUCUUCGAUUCCCGUGCCAAUAAACAUCACUGUGAAAGACUGCGCAAAACAAUUUCGUGCAAUUGCGUUAGCUGCAGCAAAAUCAAGCAUUUUUGGAUGUAUAAAAUCACACACACAAAAAAAAAACCUCAGUGACAUUCAUUUUUCCAUUUAUAUUACCGCACGCGUUCUAAUAUGUUAUUUCUGUAGUUAUACAACAGUUACUUCCGAUCCACUAAUUUGAUUGGAUGAGUGGUGUUCCAACAAUGCUGAUGUUUAGUAUAACUACACUGGGAUUUCACUGUUUCUCUUACUCCACUCUUCUGUAUUCACCAAGUGGAAUUCCAGUUCUAGCAACAGUCCCACUGAAAUGGUUACUACAGUAGAGUUAGUGAGUUAGUUACUGUAGGUUAACACUCUUCACACUGAUAAGUUGACUGUAGGUUAGCCGUCUUCCCUCUCUGUUCCUUUGUUAACACUUCUACCACUGAAUUAUACCACUUUCAGCCAGGUACGAACAGAUAAAGCCUCGCACCAUUUGCUCACAUUCCUAUGUCUUCCAAAUACCAUACAUGGAGCUGUUUCUCUCUAUAUUAAUGUGCUUCCUGUUUUAUGCAAAUAUGCUCUUUUCUCCUAGCC
ensembl:lncRNA